rnacentral:rRNA from 1 species
UGAACGAACGCUGGCGGCGUGGAUAAGACAUGCAAGUCGAGCGCCUAUUUCAGAGUAGCAAUAUUCCGAAGUGGGAGUGGCGUAAGGGUGCGUAACACGUGGGCAACCUGCCCUGAAGUUGGGAAUAACUCCGGGAAAUCGGAGCUAAUGCCGAAUGUAGUUGUGGAAAGGCAUCUUUCUACAACUAAAGCUGGGGACCGAAAGGCCUGGCGCUUCAGGAUGGGCCCGCGGCCUAUCAGCUAGUUGGUGAGGUAACGGCCCACCAAGGCGAAGACGGGUAGCUGGUCUGAGAGGACGACCAGCCACACUGGAACUGAGACACGGUCCAGACACCUACGGGUGGCAGCAGUCGAGAAUUUUUCACAAUGGGCGAAAGCCUGAUGGAGCGACGCCGCGUGGGGGAUGAAUGGCUUCGGCCCGUAAACCCCUGUCAUUCGGGAACAAACCUUCUUGGUGAACAGCCGAGAAGCUGAUAGACCGGAAGAGGAAGGCG